ensembl:lncRNA
GAGAAAUAAGAUGUAUCCAAUACGGUAGAUUUGUGGAUUGAGGGAUUAUCCUAGGUGUCAUCCAACUCAUUGGCUUCCUUCCAUCCAACUUUAUCCGAUUCGCAAGAGCUCCGACUGAUCUCUUUGGUUUUACAGUAGGCAACAGAAAUCAAAAAAAAAAUCUGUGUUCCUCAAGGUUUACAAUGGGAUUAAGGGACUUUUCCCUCUUCUUGGAAGGGUUUCAUAAUAGAUGGCCCCCGUGAAGUAGCCUGGCAAGCCAGACCCAUAUCGGAAAGAGAUUGGGUCUGGUCUCGUACGGUGGCAGUGUGGGCGGGAUAAACGGUUGUCUUUCAAGUUCCCUCUGCACGCAAUAGGAUAGCGCUACGACCAAUCAGAGCAACGAAGAAGGUGACGUAGUCAGAGCGACGGAAAUUUCCAUGGGGAAGUGUUGCGAAUGGUGGGUUGAGAGAACGGAGACCAACGAGGAAACUUUUACCGUAUCCGGUCGGCAAAACUCAGAAUACAUAUACAAUACUUUCUUUUCCAGGAAAGACUUCAGUGCAGUUCUUUGUUCAUUUCCCAAAGAAAAUGAUAACUUCAAGUCUUGAAGAGUCGCGGCCAAAGCCGAGUAAAAAGACAGCUGUUCGCCAGCAGCAGCAGCCAUUAUUGUUUACCUUUAACACGGAACCGUCGCAGCUCUGUCGUCAUUCGGCUCGAUUCCGCCCCUCACGAUCUGAUUGGCCUGUCCCAUUUUCUGUUUCUAGCAGCGAAAAACGACGACAGAAGGCUAGUCCUCCCUGGCUGCAAUUUAAAUUUGCUGCCGCUAGGGGCCUCUAGAUUUUUAGGCUACCCGUGAAGCCCUUUGAGGCUGUAAAUGUGAUUUGGGGCUAUCCCGGUAAUUCCUAUCCUCGGGCUCAGGAACCCCAUCCGGGGCCCCUGAUAUGCAUGCGGGGUCACAGGAGACCCACGAGCUAGUAUCUGAUGAUCCAUUUGAACACACUAUGUUUUGCUUAAAGGGAUCAUGGCUAUUACCGGGAGAAGUUGUAUAUUGUUGGUCCUGCUGGCCCAGCCCAUCGAGGACGAGUGCAUGGAGGGGCUGACACUGAAGAUCACGGACUUCGGCCUGGCCAGG